rnacentral:rRNA from 1 species
UGGUGGUUAUUGCAUCUGGGAACCACCCGAUCCCAUCCCGAACUCGGACGUGAAACCAGAUCACGCCAAUGGUACUUCGGCUUAAGCCGCGGAAGAGUAGGUCCCUGCCA